rnacentral:rRNA from 1 species
CCUACGGGUGGCAGCAGUGAGGAAUAUUGGUCAAUGGGCGGAAGCCUGAACCAGCCAAGUCGCGUGAGGGAAUAAGGCCCUACGGGUCGUAAACCUCUUUUGCCGGGGAGCAAGGGCCGGGACGAGUCCCGGUCCGGAGAGUACCCGGAGAAAAAGCAUCGGCAAACACCGUGCCAGCAGCCUCGGUAAUACGGAGGUUGGAAGGUUUAUCCGGAUUGUUUGGGUUUAAGGGGUGCGUAGGGGGGCUUUAAAGGCAGCGGUAAAAAUUCGGGGCUAAACCCCGACCUGCCGUUGAAACUGGGGGCCUUGAGUGGGCGAGAGGAAGGCGGAAUGCGUGGUGUAGCGGUGAAAUGCAUAGAUAUCACGCAGAACCCCGAUUGCGAAGGCAGCCUUCCGACGCCCUACUGACGCUGAGGCACGAAAGUGCGGGGAUCGAACAGGAUUAGAUACCCUAGUAGUC